rnacentral:rRNA from 1 species
UUUAGUUACCAUCAUUCAGUUGGGGACUCUAAAGGAACCGCCGGUGAUAAGCCGGAGGAAGGUGGGGAUGACGUCAAGUCCUCAUGGCCCUUACGCGCUGGGCUACACACGUGCUACAAUGGCAACUACAGUGGGCAGCAAUCCUGCAAGGGUGAGCUAA